rnacentral:ribozyme from 1 species
GCCCCUCACGGGUAGCUGCCUUCACGCGGCGAGGGGCGUCAGUACCAAUUCUAAUUGGGAAGCCAGACGCUACC